CCAGACAAAGCCAAACCCAUCGUGAGGUGGGGACGGAAAACCACGGGUCUUAAAAUCAAGACAGCCGGGUUACCAAAG
rnacentral:ncRNA from 1 species